UCGUCAAUGCUUAUGUUUUUCAUAGAACUUAAUGAUUCUUGCUUGUAUCUCUAUUAUGCAAUUCAUGUAGGGAAUUUGUAGGGAAUGUUUUGGGUUGUCGUAUGCAAUCAUCCAACCUAAUAACUUGUGGAAAAACUGAGGGUUAAUUAGUGCAAUUCACGGUUAAUUUGGGGCAUUGAGUAUUCAUAGUUUAUCGAAAAGCAACUGGAAAUCGUUUUGUAUGCAAGUGUGACAUGUGUGGAGAAGAACCUCCUAGCUAGCCUUCCAUCCAUAAAUUUCAUUCAAAUUCAUUUACAAUCUGUUUUGUUUUACAAAGUUUGUUUUGUUUUCAAAUUCGUCAAGAACCAAUCUCCCAUUUAUUUCAAAAUGUUAGAUUAGUCAGUAAUAACUUUGGUUUGUGUUUUUAAGU
rnacentral:lncRNA from 1 species